AACGAACGCUGGCGGCGUGGAUAAGACAUGCAAGUCGAACGAGAGAAUUGCUAGCUUGCUAAUAAUUCUCUAGUGGCGCACGGGUGAGUAACACGUGAGUAACCUGCCCCCGAGAGCGGGAUAGCCCUGGGAAACUGGGAUUAAUACCGCAUAGUAUCGCAAGAUUAAAGCGGCAAUGCGCUUGGGGAUGGGCUCGCGGCCUAUUAGUUAGUUGGUGAGGUAACGGCUCACCAAGGCGAUGACGGGUAGCCGGUCUGAGAGGAUGUCCGGCCACACUGGAACUGAGACACGGUCCAGACACCUACGGGUGGCAGCAGUCGAGAAUCAUUCACAAUGGGGGAAACCCUGAUGGUGCGACGCCGCGUGGGGGAAUGAAGGUCUUCGGAUUGUAAACCCCUGUCAUGUGGGAGCAAAUUAAAAAGAUAGUACCACAAGAGGAAGAGACGGCUAACUCUGUGCCAGCAGCCGCGGUAAUACAGAGGUCUCAAGCGUUGUUCGGAAUCACUGGGCGUAAAGCGUGCGUAGGCUGUUUCGUAAGUCGUGUGUGAAAGGCGCGGGCUCAACCCGCGGACGGCACAUGAUACUGCGAGACUAGAGUAAUGGAGGGGGAACCGGAAUUCUCGGUGUAGCAGUGAAAUGCGUAGAUAUCGAGAGGAACACUCGUGGCGAAGGCGGGUUCCUGGACAUUAACUGACGCUGAGGCACGAAGGCCAGGGGAGCGAAAGGGAUUAGAUACCCCUGUAGUCCUGGCAGUAAACGGUGCACGCUUGGUGUGCGGGGAAUCGACCCCCUGCGUGCCGGAGCUAACGCGUUAAGCGUGCCGCCUGGGGAGUACGGUCGCAAGAUUAAAACUCAAAGAAAUUGACGGGGACCCGCACAAGCGGUGGAGUAUGUGGCUUAAUUCGAUGCAACGCGAAGAACCUUACCUGGGCUUGACAUGUAAUGAACAACAUGUGAAAGCAUGCGACUCUUCGGAGGCGUUACACAGGUGCUGCAUGGCCGUCGUCAGCUCGUGUCGUGAGAUGUUUGGUUAAGUCCAGCAACGAGCGCAACCCCUGUUGCCAGUUACCAGCACGUGAAGGUGGGGACUCUGGCGAGACUGCCCAGAUCAACUGGGAGGAAGGUGGGGACGACGUCAGGUCAGUAUGGCCCUUAUGCCCAGGGCUGCACACGUACUACAAUGCCCAGUACAGAGGGGGCCGAAGCCGCGAGGCGGAGGAAAUCCUAAAAACUGGGCCCAGUUCGGACUGUAGGCUGCAACCCGCCUACACGAAGCCGGAAUCGCUAGUAAUGGCGCAUCAGCUACGGCGCCGUGAAUACGUUCCCGGGUCU
rnacentral:rRNA from 1 species